CAUGCAAGUCGAACGAGGAUGUAUCCUUCGGGAUAUAAGCCGAGUGGCAUAAGGGUGAGCAAUGCAUAGAUUACCUACCUUUAGGAUAAGGACAACUUUGUGAAAACGGAGCUAAUACUUAAUAAUACAAAGGAAAAUAAUUUUCUUUUGUCAAAGGGAGGGUAGCAAUACCUUUCGCCUAGAGAGGGGUUUAUGUCCUAUCGGCUUGUUGGUGGGGUAAUAGCCUACCAAGGCGAAGACGGGUAGCCGGUUUAAGAGGAUGGUCGGCCACACUGGGACUGAGACACUGCCCAGACUUCUACGGAAGGCUGCAGUCGAGAAUCUUUCGCAAUGCCCGAAAGGGUGACGAAGCGACGCCGCGUGGGUGAAGAAGGCCUUCGGGUUGUAAAACCCUGUCAGGAGUUAUGAAAUGUAAGUGCGCUAAUAUCGUGCUUAUUUGACAAAGGCUCCAAAGGAAGCCACGGCUAACUCUGUGCCAGCAGCCGCGGUAAUACAGAGGUGGCGAGCGUUGUUCGGAAUUAUUGGGCGUAAAGAGCACGUAGGUGGGUUUGCAAGUCAGAUGUGAAAGCCUUCUGUUCAACGGGAGAAAUGCAUCUGAAACUGCUAAUCUUGAGUGUAGGAGGGGAGAAUGGAACUUCUGGUGGAGCAGUGAAAUGCGUAGAUAUCAGAAGGAACGCCGGCGGCGAAAGCGAUUCUCUGGCCUAUUACUGACACUCAGUGUGCGAAAGCUAGGGGAGCAAACGGGAUUAGAUACCCCGGUAGUCCUAGCCGUAAACGAUGGGCACUAAGUAGAGGGGAUUACCUAUGUUCUCUCUGCCGUAGCUAACGCAUUAAGUGCCCCGCCUGGGGAGUACGGCCGCAAGGCUAAAACUCAAAAGAAUUGACGGGGGCUCGCACAAGCGGUGGAGCAUGUGGCUUAAUUCGAUGCAACGCGAAAAACCUUACCGGGGCUUGACAUGAUAGAAGUAGGAACCUGAAAGGGGGACGAACGGUAUCCAGUCCGUAGCUAUUACAGGUGUUGCAUGGCUGUCGCCAGCUCGUGUCGUGAGACGUUGGGUUAAGUCCCCUAACGAGCGAAACCCUUGUUCUUAGUUACCAGCGGGUUAUGCCGGGUACUCUAGAAAGACUGCCGUCGUCAAGACGGAGGAAGGUGGGGAUGACGUCAAGUCAUCAUGGCCCUUAUGCCCCGGGCUGCACACGUGCUACAAUGGUCGGUACAGACGGAAGCGAAGCCGAGAGGUGAAGCGAAUCCUAAAAAGCCGAUCUCAGUUCGGAUUGGAGGCUGAAAUUCGCCUCCAUGAAGUUGGAAUCGCUAGUAAUCGCGGAUCAGCAAUGUCGCGGUGAAUAUGUUCCCGAGCCUUGUACACACCGCCCGUCAGCCACCCAAGCAGGAUGCACCCGAAAACAUUAUAUCUAACCAGGGCAACUUGGAGGAAAAUGUUGAAGGAGUGUUUUGUGAGGAGGACUAAGUCGUAACAAGGUAGUCGUAGGAGAACCUGCGGCUGGAUCACCUCCUUUCU
rnacentral:rRNA from 1 species